UACGGGGGGGGCAAGCGUUGUUCGGAAUUACUGGGCGUAAAGGGUUCGUAGGUGGCUUGCUAAGUCAGACGUGAAAUCCCUCAGCUUAACUGGGGAACUGCGUCUGAUACUGGCGAGCUUGAGUGCAGGAGAGGAACGCGGAAUUCCAGGUGUAGCGGUGAAAUGCGUAGAUAUCUGGAGGAACACCGGUGGCGAAGGCGGCGUUCUGGACUGCAACUGACACUCAGGGACGAAAGCUAGGGGAGCGAAUGGG
rnacentral:rRNA from 1 species